GGGCAAAGUCCUUUCUCUCUAUCUAAGUUCCAGUUUUAGUCGCAGUGAUAAAACAACAUAAACGAAUAUACACAUGCAUACAAACAUGACUUAUAUACUUAAAGCACAUAAAUUAGUUUUUAAUAUAUGUUUAGUGGAAAUAUAAAUAAUAUGACGUUUUAAUUGCUCAUAUCUCGUGUAUAGAACGUGUUAUUACUACUUCUGUUUAAGUGACUGAUUUUUAACUUUUAUACACAUCGUUUUCCUGUAAACCUGCGAUCAAUAUUAGUAUGUAUGAUAAAUAUUAUUCUCCGUAAUCGUGUUUUUCAUAUGCGAACCGUGCAAUGAUAUAAUCGAUUGUUGUCAAAUUGAACAACAACGUCAAGCUAUAUAUUUACUUCACAAGUUUUAAUGUAUUCUAUUUAUUAUUUACCAUGAAUGGAAAAGUUUUAUUUUAUUAAAAUUAUUUGUUGGGAAAGAGAACGCACGAGUUCGGGAAAGGUAAAAAAAAAGCACGAGUAAUAAGCUCACAUCCCGAACGCUAUACGUCCCUGCAAUACGCUACUUUUUGAAGAUUCCAUUACAUACAUACAUACAACCCAAGAUAAUAAAAGCGUGGUAAAAAUGAUUCAUUUCAUUCUUCUCACAAUCAGCCUAAUUUGUACUAUUGUCAGUUUAUCUUAACUCUGGCUAUGGCAUUUAUAAAUUAUGCCAUUAAAAUGACAAAAACGCGAAAAUAAUAAAAUGAGAUUUGUUUGAAUAUUUAAUUAGAAUAAAUAUAUUUUACUGUAUAUUUA